rnacentral:rRNA from 1 species
CGGGUGAGUAACGCGUGAGAAUCUAACUUCAGGACGGGGACAACAGUUGGAAACGACUUGUAAUACCCGAUGUGCCGCAAGGUGAAACUUAAUUGGCCUGAAGAAGAGCUUGCGUCUGAUUAGCUAGUUGGUGGGGUAAGAGCCUACCAAGGCGACGAUCAGUAGCUGGUNUGAGAGGAUGAGCAGCCACACUGGGACUGAGACACGGCCCAGACUCCUACGGGAGGCAGCAGUGGGGAAUUUUCCGCAAUGGGCGAAAGCCUGACGGAGCAACGCCGCGUGAGGGAGGAAGGUCUUUGGAUUGUAAACCUCUUUUCUUAAGGAAGAAGUUCUGACGGUACUUGAGGAAUCAGCCUCGGCUAACUCCGUGCCAGCAGCCGCGGUAAUACGGGGGAGGCAAGCGUUAUCCGGAAUUAUUGGGCGUAAAGCGUCCGCAGGUGGUCAGCCAAGUCUGCCGUCAAAUCAGGUUGCUUAACGACCUAAAGGCGGUGGAAACUGGCAGACUAAAGAGCAGUAGGGGUAGCAGGAAUUCCCAGUGUAGCGGUGAAAUGCGUAGAGAUUGGGAAGAACAUCGGUGGCGAAAGCGUGCUACUGGGCUGUAUCUGACACUCAGGGACGAAAGCUAGGGGAGCGAAAGGGAUUANAU